rnacentral:lncRNA from 1 species
GAAAUUAAACACUUUGAAACAAUAAAGUAAAAGGGAGAUUUUGGUUUUAAUGAAUUUGAAAACAAAACAAACAUUGUAAAACAAAACAGAUUGUAAGUGAAUUUGAAUGAAACUUAUGGAUGGAAGAUUAGCUAGGAGGUUCUUCUCCACAUAUGUCACACUUGCAUACAAAACGAUUUCCAGUUGCUUUUCGAUAAGCUAUGAAUACUCAACACCCCAAAUUAACCGUGAAUUGCACUAAUUAACCCUCAGUUUUUUCCACAAGUUAUUAGGUUGGAUGAUUGCAUA